GCUUGCCAAGGUGGACAGUGGCCUGAGCCAGCCUCUUGGUCAUUCUCUUGAAGGUUGACCGCUGUUGUUUAAGUGGGUAGAUGUAUAAAGUUUCUGAAGUCUGCAGUUCAUCUUGUUUUCAGCCUUCCUUCAGGAGCAGAUAGCCCAUGUUCAGGAAGAAGCGGUUUACAAGGAAUCAAGUGAGGUACUAAUACUCCUAACCUCCUUUGUACGCAGAGAUGAUCAUGAGACCCAAUGAGUUAUAAGGAAAAGAUUCUCUCUUUCUGAUAAAAGGAGAUAAGUAUUCAAUAAGAACUGUGUCUUACUGGCUCGGCCACCCCCUCAAUUGUUUACUUUGGAAACACACUGUGAGAGUGUGAUGUCUAGAGCUGUAGCAGUCACCUUGGGACCAUAAGGUGAGAGUCCACGGAUCAUACCCUGAAGUGUCCUCAGGAUUUGAAACCACUGUCAUGUCAGUCCCAUGGUUACACUUCACCUUCCCAAGUAUGUCUUUAAUUACUCUCUCAGCAGCCAACAAUUUCUUGCAGAGAAUCAUAUAAGAAUCAAUAAAUGUUUACUGAAUGCCCUAGGCUCUGAGCUGGGACAAAGGCAUGGAAGAAGCAGGCCUGUUCUGGAGGACUUUGCAGAUUUCCUUCAGUUUCACAUGCCAGAAACCCAGCUUCACAGUGGCGAGGAUGGGAAAAUGAGGCAGGAAAUAAACCUGAGGACCUAGCAUGGUGCUUAAGAAAUGUCGGUGUGCUACUCUUAUUGAGGACUUCAGUUCAGGAAACUCUUUUACACGUUUGUCAUCUCCAUUUUCACCUUCGCAAAGACCUUGAAGAGAAGUAUAAAAUUCUUACUCUCAAUGUGAAGAUGAGGAAACAGAGCCAGAUUUCGUGUGUCUUCCUCAGCGGCACUGAAAGCCCAUGGCAACGAGAUGCCUUGGUCCCACAUUUCCUGAUUUCCACUUUGGUGUCUUUUUUCCCCCCCUUAUAGAUCACACAAUGUCAAGAUUAGUAAAAAUCUUUAGAAAUUAUCUAGUUUAGGGAUGGCAAGCAGGUUUUACUUUCUUAUGUGCUGGCGUUGGCCUCCUGGUAACCACGGCCCGAGCCCUGGAUUGUGUUCUACCUACGGGGGAAGGGUGCUGUGAUCCAUUAGUAAUGUCUGCAUGGGCUUUGGUGAGUUAGCGUGUGGGGCACUUGCUAUUCUUCAUCUAAUCCAACCUCUCAUUUAAACAACAAACAAACAAACCUCAGAGAUGGGAACUGACAUACUCAAGGUUACCCAAUGAGCUAGGGGCAGAACUGGGUCUAGUGAUUUUUCUCAUUGACAGUCCAGUUGCCAAGCCUUGACAAUAAGAUUUAACUAUUUUCUUCCCACAGUAGGAUUUCCAUUGUUUAGGUAGCCUAGACUAUUAGAGGCCAUAGGCUCUAACCCCAGCUGUGAUGCUGUGUAGAAUUCAACAAGUUGACUCAUCUCUUUGUGCUUACAGAUAAUUCUGCUUCCUCUCAACAUCUUCCCCUAUCUUGAAGAAACUGCAAAGUUUGUGCAUUACCAAAGCUUGUGCAUUAGACAUUGCCUAAGAAAUGUCAGUCAAGAAGGUUAAAAUGAAAGAAACACGGCUUAGAAUACGUAGAGAACUUGACAGACAACUGGAGUUGAGAGAGGCCUGGGGAAGAACAGGGAGUCCAUGGAAAUCCUGCUUGUCAGUGAUGGUGAACUGGCGUGGCUUGGAUAUUUGAAUCGGCACACCGAGGUUUCCAGCAGAAGCAUUAUAGACCAUAAAUGCAGAACUAGGUUACAAAAAAUAAGUUUUUGUGGUUAAUAUUAGUAUUGCCCUACAAGUUAAUUUUUUUUUUUUAACACUCUGUGGCAAUUCAGAAUUACGUAGUCCAUCCAUAUAUAUCAUCAUGCUGGCUUUCCACGGCAAGUGGAAGGGGUCAGUCUCCCUAUUUUAGAGAAGAAGGAUGGAGUCCAGAGAGGCUGAGUGACUGGGGAAGGUCAGGUGGCAAAUCAUCGGAGAGGCUCGGAUUUGAACUUGGCUUUUUAGGUGCUGAACCUAGCAGUAUUUCUUGUGUCAUGGUGGUGACAUUUUCAGGCUGACUAGUUCCCUGGAGUCCUCAUGGAGGAGUGGAGGUCAAGGCCAGGGGAGAGGCUUGUGUGUUUAGAACAGCUGCAGAUGUUGAACUUGGGGUGGGCUUAUAUCGAUGGAGGCCUGGGCAGGCAGGGUUCUGGAAGCAAAGGACAUGGCACAACCAGGAGAUUGGUUUGCUAUCAGCUAUUUACUGAGUUUUGUUUGUUUGUUUUCGGGGUGGUGGUCAGGCAAUAUGUUGAGGGCUUUAUGUACAUAACCUCAUUGAAUUUGUGGCAAACACUAUUUAUCUGGGUGGUGAAGCCUGAGUCAGGGAGGCUGAACACCUUGGCCAAAGACACAUGGCUCAGGGAGGGAUGGAGCCCGGGUGAGAAGGCUCUGAAUGAGGCCUGUGCAUCUGACCAUCCCAUGAGGCCAGGAUUGUGAGCCUGCGAGCGAGGCCUAGAGUGGGGAAAUGCACGUGUAGAAGAAAUUGGCUGGGACCAGUUGGGGAGGUCCUGAGAAGCUGGCUGAAAGAGCUCUGGACAUCGUCUUCGGGGCCACAGGAAAGGAAGAGCAGAAGUCUGCCCCUCCUUUCCGAGUAAAAUGGGCCUGCACACGGGAACGGCCUCUGUGCCUGCUUCCACGGGCUCUCAUGCUGCCUGACCCCAUCCGAAGAGGAUAUCACCGUUCCUGCUACCCUCUUCCAAUUUCUUUUAAAAAUAAAAUAAAAAUUAUUUA